ACAUGUGAUAGGACCAUGUGCACCACUACGAUGGUCCUCACCACUAUUGCUGUCAUCCUAUACAGAAAGUUCUCAAACCGAGUCGAACCGCACAAUGUUGAUGAUGCCAAUGAGGUGCCCUACAUGAAGAGCAAUGGAGUCGACCCUAAGAAAUAACAACCCUCACAGCAGAUGUAGCUCUAGUCUACAGUCUACAUGGUACAUAAAAGUAAAAUAACAAGUAGCCUACAGAAGUGAAUGCUGUCUGAUAUUUCAAGAUGUGGAAAGGAAUGCAAGAGGAGGAGGGGAAGAGAGAGGGAGGGAAAAUGGAACAUGUGGCAGAAGUAGAGAUGCAUGAAGUGAGAAGAUGUAUGCCCGUUCCACAUUUAGCUUUCAAGUACUCCCCACUAUGCUGCUCCCACUAAAUGAUUUAGUGGCAGAACAACAAUCCAUCAGCUCUGUGGAAGGUUAUUAUAAAUGCAUUACCUCCCCAAGCCUACCAGUUCAAUAGAGUCGUGCAGGGCCUCAUAAAUAUGGGUCAAUAAAGGGACACACACAAAAGACUCAGGAUGAAUGAAAUAGGCUUUAUUGUUUUAGUGUGAACUUUCACCCUACCUGUGCGUAGAAGCUCUCAGAUCUGAGGCGGGUCUUUUCAAAUGAAGAGACGUGAGUUUAUUCAUUUAUUCAUAGCAUGAUAUCUCCCUAAAUGAUUAAUGUCCCCCCGCAUGUACGCUUUUAUGCACCCUCUUUUCUCUCUUUUCUUCCAGACACGAACUGAAGAAAGGUCUUCACCUUGAUGGCUACACAUCUGACAACAGCAGCAGCUCCAUCUCAGUCAUCUGGAAUUGAUGCAGCUGGCGCCAUUGCCUCUCCAGUGUUCAGAGACUGUGCAUUGCCAUGUGAAAAGCAUCUGGAAUUUAUCACAUCUUCAAUCCCCCAUCUGUCCUGCAGAUCCCUCUAAUGUUAGAGGAGUCCCAGGAAGCCUCCCUCCUCCUUCUUGAGGCAGGAGAAUUCCAUUUCUGGGAAUGAAACCUCAACCAAUAACAUCUUGGUGGAGCUGAAUCUACAGUCCAACAUCUUGGUUUAUUGUGGGAUUCUUGUUUUGUACAGUUGGACGUUUUCUUAAGGCUUAAAGUAGGCCAAUGGUCAAUGUAAAACUGUUGGAAAGUGUUCCGUGCCUCAACAAACAGUUUUUUUUUUUAAAUUGUCAUUUUUUGUCUUUGAGCAAAUAGGGCUGUACAGAUUUGUGUCCAUUGAGUAAAUUAUAAUGGCUUUUAAAGAAGAGGCAGAACUUUAAAAUGAUGCACUUUAAAUGGUAGGAUGUUUUUGGUAAUCUUUCACAUUCCUAAAGUGACCUAAAUCUUGUUUUGACUGAAACAAGGAGCUUUGGAUAAGCAAUAUAUUUCAAAUGAAUCGCUUGAACCCAUAAAUAUUUGACCAAAUGUCAGAGAACAUAAAUGUCUUGUCGUGAAGAUGUGUGUGCCAUGGCUACUCAAUCUAAAGAGCAAUGGAGAGAGGCAUCAGUUUUGUACCUCUCUGUCAACCCUCUCCAGUCACAAUGCAUUGCUAUGUGAUGAAAGAAAGCAUGCAAUGAAUCACCUCUUCCCCUACACCUUUAGCAUCCCGUUGGUCCCAUUAAAGGAGCAACAGUCAGAAAGAGGUGUGUUACUAGUCUGCCUGUGUUCAAAACACAGCUCCAACUUUACAUUUUUAAAAGCAGCUAGGUGUCACCUUAGUAAACGUCUGCCUUGAGUCAGAGCAUGGUGAUGAUGGUGGUUACUGGUAGGACGGUUUGUUACAGAAUCGACUUUCCUUUGACAUGUCAUCUUACAACCUGCUUCUUCUCUCUAAAGCAAAAAUGAUGUAUGUUCUUUGCUCUCCCCACCUGAUCAAAUAAAGAGAUUGGAAAAAUGUA